rnacentral:lncRNA from 1 species
ACUCUACCCCCUGGGUAGGCAGGGAGAGCUGAAUAUCUCAUGGAUUUUAUAGUCAAAGAUAUAAAAAAACCCCAGCUCUACUCUUCUAAAAUGUAAGACUGCAUCUGUUUUUAUUUGCUACUCAAUUUAUUAUGAAUUUAUACUAUAUUAAGCAAAACAGAUCUCCAGAUCCCCUGCCCUGGAGAACAUACUUUACUCAUUUUUUUCUUUGUCAGAGAAAUUAAUCUUGCCAUCUCCAAACCCUUGUUUCUUACCUAUUAGCAAGACAUUAAAAAUUAAUCGUGAAUGUUUCCUAAACACGUAUAAACACAUCACGUAAGUGCAAGUAUCUCUGGUAUCAUGAAGAGUCCUGGUCUGUGACCUAAGAAACAGUUUGCAGUUAGUUUUGCACAGUUAAUAUGUUACCCAAAGAUAUGCCACAUAUUCAGAGCACUAGAGGAACUCACUGGGGGAGCUUGUGAAGCAUUUUGUAAAGCAAAGACCUUGAAGAUUUAAAGAAUCAAGGCACUUGAAUAAGCUGCUUUAAGGAACCACCAAUACUAGAAGACAUACUGUGCUUUAAGAUGACUGGGCAUUUUGCAGUGCAGACACCAAUCCUUGGAAGGACGUACAACACACUAAGGGUUGGAGCCCUUCUUGGAGUCCUCAUCCCACUGGCUGUCUACAUCUUUUUUAUCAAGACCAUACACAUAAGGAUAACACAUGAGCCUCCUAAGGGCUCUGACAGGGUAAAGAAGGAACUUGAGUUGGGACUGAAGUCUGAGCAAUUCUAUAGAGAAGUUAAAGAUUAUUUUUUUGCCAUUUAAACUUUUCUCACGUCCUUUUCAUUGCACAUCUUUGUGUAAUUAGGAAAUCAGAAAUUAGGGUUAUUCUGGAACUCAGCUCACACCUACCUUUCUAGAAUUUUUUUCCCAUGACCAUUAUACGAGUACCUUAAAUGUGUCUAAAACCAGUCUAUUUGCCAUCCCCCAAGCAUACUUAAGAAAACUGUGGGCCGGGCGUGAUGGCUCACGUGGGCGGAUCACGAGGUCAGGAGAUUGAGACCAUUCUGGCUAACACGGUGAAACCCCGUCUCUACUUAAAAAUACAAAAAACUAG